GAAGACUUCUCAAGGGAGCCACAAGUAGAACGUGAACUGAUGCUUAUCAAACUUAAUGCAUAUCCAAGUAUCCCUCCAGAGAAAUACAUUCGGGUGAGAGCGGGUCCAAGAGGUGUUUUCAAAUAAAAGUUAUCUCCAGUGGCUUUGGUGCAUUGAAUUAGUGGAGCAUUUAAACAGAGAUACAAACAGAAUUACUGCAUUACUAAGUUUUAAGAUUUUUGGAGGACUACAACAUAUCAAGUAUGGAGGGAAUUGAUAGAAGCGAUAUGUCAGAGGUUGGCAAUGAAGAAGUUGACUUUGGACAAACAAAUGUUCACAAUUUUCAACAGUCAGACCCAAGGUAUCGUAGGAGUAAUCAACAAAGGCAAAAUCAUAGGAGCAAUCAACAAAGACAAAGACGACAAUCUAUGAAUUCAUCACAGCGGGCUCGAAUUUCAAUACGACGACGUGCCAAUUAUCAAACCUGCUUGAACUCAAUCAAUAUAGU